GUCUUUUUGAGAAUAAUUUAAAGUCAAAUCUGCCCACUGAAUUUAUUUAAAGGGCUGCAGUAUAUUGACUGUACAAAGGUAGCAUAAUCAUUAGUCUUUUAAUUGAAGACUUGUAUGAAUGAUUUGAUGAGAUAUAGACUGUCUCUUUGUUAAAAAUAGAAUUUAAUUUUUUAGUUAAAAAGCUAAAAUAUUUUUAAAAGACGAGAAGACCCUAUAGAGUUUUAUAUUUUAUUAAAUUUAAAUUUUAUAUAAAUUUUUAAAUUUAAAUUUUAUAAAAUAUUUUGUUGGGGUGAUAGAAAAAUUUAAUAAACUUUUUUUAAAAAUUUUACAUUAAUUUAUGAUUGUAUGAUCCAUAAUUUUUGAUUAUAAGAAUAAAUUACCUUAGGGAUAACAGCGUAAUUUUUUUUUUUAGUUCAAAUAAAAAUUAAAGUUUGCGACCUCGAUGUUGGAUUAAGAUAAAAUUUAAAUGCAAAAGUUUAAAAUUUUGAUCUGUUCGAUCAUUAAAAUCUUACA
rnacentral:rRNA from 1 species